rnacentral:lncRNA from 1 species
CAUUAGAAGACAUGGGAACUUUUUAUAUUAAAGCUCAACAAGUGCACAUUCUAUUUUUAAACUGUACAUGGCCGCCUCUGUCAACAGAGUCUAAUCAGUGUGGAAUGUAAGAGGACAAAACACUCAAGUCAGAAACCACCACCAAUGACUGACUGCAGUCCGUCUCGUCUGUCCAGGACAUAAGUGGAAAUGAACAACACAGUAGUUGCUUCCCAACUCCCCACUUCCUCUACACUUUACCAUCUGCCCUUCCCUGUCUCCCUGCAUCCUCCUUGCUACUCCACAGACUUGGCCGCUUUGUUUCCCUCCACUCCCUUAUUUACACCCACUCUGUUCCAACCACACUAGCCUCCUGUUGCUCAAAUUGUCUGAGGCCUUAAAUGUCAUCUGUGUGGAGGUCUUUAAUCUACUUUCCUUUUCUUGAGGACUUCGUGACCACUGACUUCCUAUCUCCCUCACAUUACAAGAGAAGCUUUACUAACUGCACUUUAAUGUCUGUCCAUCCUUACAAUUCUUAGAACCCUGCUGGAUGUAUAGCAAGUAUUCAAUACAUAUGUAUAAAUGGGAAUGUGUAAUGUAUAAAAUAAAACCCUAAAAAUGUCCUAUAGAA